UCCAAUAGCGUAUGUUAAGUUGUUGCGGCUAAAAAGCUCGUAGUUGGAUUUCUGUUGAGGACAUCCGGUCCACUCUAUGAGUGUGCAUCUGGCAUGGCCUCGGCAUCCGCCUGCAACGUGUCUGCGCUUGAUUGCGUGGCAUGGAGGUAGGGCCUUUUACUUGAGGAAUUAGAGUGUUCACGGCAGGCAAUCGCCUUGAA
rnacentral:rRNA from 1 species